UAGAGCUCUCGGUUUUCAGCUUGAAGGUGGUGGUUCUUUACCGGUUUUCCCCCUCUCUCUUGGAAGGUGAUUUGCAAGUCAUGGAGGGCUGUUCGCCUGAAAAACAGCCAUAAGGAGGAGAAGAAGCUGCUGAAAUGAGGAAGAAAAACUGCAGGAAAUUCGGUCAAACACGGUUGUCUCUUUCCACACUUUUUCCAUUGUUUUGCCUUGGAAUUUCUUCUAUUGAUUGAUGUUUAUGGUUGAUUGAACUCCUAGGAUCCCCAACAGGAUCAUAUAAUCAAGAUUAUCUCGCUUGAUUUUGGAAUAGUUGAAUAAAGUGAAGUUAUAACUAGAAUCAUCUAGGAAUUGGAAUGGAGAUGCGGAUAAAUUUAGAAUUGGAAGCAAUCUUGGAAAGCAGCCAGAGACUUGAGAUAUCUCGAUAAACUGAUUUUCAUAAUCGAUUUCUUUAAUGGAAAACUGAACUGAAAAUGGAAGGUUAGAGUCCUUGAUUGAUGCCUUCGCCAGUAAAGGAAAUUCCAAUACCGUGUCAUUGUUUUGAGUGCAGUGAAGUUCAAAGCCAGGGUAGCCACUGUGCUGUUGGUAGCGAUCUUUAAGGCUGAAGGGGAACCGGAUGGCAGGGCCAUACUGCGUGCAGUUUUCGACUUGGCAUUCGUUUUGAGCAAUUGAUCCAAGUACUGCAAAGAGUGAUAGAAAGAUGAGGUAAAUGAGUUGAGGUGCCAUGUUGAGGAAGAACACUUGAUACUGCUUAUGAAUUUCUGGGCCUUUUGUUUUCGUUCACAUUUCCCAGUAGUAUUAGUAAUUUUUCAAGAAGAAAAAAAACAAUCAAAUCAUAGACUAUUAAGCAAAUUUAUGAGUUGACUUGUAUUUCUAUUGGUCUCCGUCCACUGGAGAUAUGGAAUGGAUUUUACUCCAUGUUUUCAUUUACCUGAUAUGCAUUUUCAUCCCCUCGAUUUGCUUAGCUAGUCAUUUAGCUGUACUAACCUUCAUCUUCUACAACAUCAUGCCUUCUAGGCCUAGAAAGA
rnacentral:lncRNA from 1 species